rnacentral:misc_RNA from 1 species
UUGAUUGUGAAUCGUUGCCUUCAGUGCUGGCUGGCCUCGGCAAGCAAGUGCACGUCGGUGACUUUUUCAUCCACACCCUGUGAACCUUUGGCCUCUUGCUAGCUUCGGCCGGCAGAGGAUUUUACACAAACUCGAAUGUAAUGAAAUUUAUUGUCGUGCGCAAGCACUAAUGUA